rnacentral:rRNA from 1 species
GACGAACGCUGGCGGCGUGCUUAACACAUGCAAGUCGAACGGAAAGGCCCUGCUUUUGUGGGGUGCUCGAGUGGCGAACGGGUGAGUAACACGUGAGUAACCUGCCCUUGACUUUGGGAUAACUUCAGGAAACUGGGGCUAAUACCGGAUAGGAGCUCCUGCUGCAUGGUGGGGGUUGGAAAGUUUCGGCGGUUGGGGAUGGACUCGCGGCUUAUCAGCUUGUUGGUGGGGUAGUGGCUUACCAAGGGUUUGACGGGUAGCCGGCCUGAGAAGGUGACCGGCCACCUUGGGACUGAGAUACGGCCCAGACUCCUACGGGAGGCAGCAGUGGGGAAUAUUGCACAAUGGGCGGAAGCCUGAUGCAGCAACGCCGCGUGCGGGAUGACGGCCUUCGGGUUGUAAACCGCUUUCGCCUGUGACGAAGCGUGAGUGACGGUAAUGGGUAAAGAAGCACCGGCUAACUACGUG